UGGGCGUCGACGCAGUCCUACCCUCUGCUGACUGCGGGCCGGGCCCUUCCCGAGGGCGGGGCGUGGGUCGCGGAGUGAGUUCUCACGCGCUGCUCGCUCCGCGCUGGGCGCUACAAUAGAGGACAACGUGGCGCCCAAGGAGCGUUUGCUGCUGGCUGAGACCUGCUCACAUGAGGCUUUCAGAGAGCUCCAGGACGCUGACUUCCUCCAAGUCAAGGAAGAGAGAGGAGGCAAAGACGGCACCCAGUGGUCACCUGGACCCCCUACUGUCACUGGGAAACAGGUGAACAGGCCAGGAGAGCAGGUGUGCAGGGGUCAGCUGUUGAGAGUUUGAUGCGGAACGAUGGAGAGACCUGGGGACACUCAGGUGAGCUGUUCGGGACAGAGCUAGGGGCAGCUGGAGGCCUCAUCAGGUGUGGGUGAUACUUGGAGCCAGAGGGAGGGUAGAAAGAACAAGGUAGACUAGCCAGGAAUCCACAGUGAGGACUGGAAAGGAAACCCAAGGAGGGGUGAGGCCACAGUCUCCCCAAGGUUGCAUUGAAUGCAACCUGUAAGAGUAGCUACAGGAUUUUUUUUUUUUAUAACUAUGUGAACCUAUCCUGAAAUCCAUGAGGAAAAUAAAGGUGCAAGAAUAAUUAGCCUGCAAGUACUUGAACAGACAUGUCUCCAAAGAAGAUAACCAAGUGGUCAACAAGCACGUGGAAAGAUGCUCAACAUCAUUAGUCAUUAAAGAGAUGCCAGUCCAAACCACAGUGAGGCGCCACUUCACACCUGUUAGCAUGACGACUAUCAAAAAAUAAUAAUAAUAAUCAGUGUUGGUGGGAAUGUCUGUGGAGAACUGAACCCGAUGCAUUAUU